UCGUAGAACUUCCCAUGAAUCACUGCGCCGACAAGUUACCAGACAACGUCCAGACGAGAGUGCACGCAUCUAGCGACACUCUGGUCCAGACCACGAUAUCGUGGUCCAGACAACUUUCUCGCUCUACUAACCUUGAACUGUACGUACAAGUUACUCCGCAGCUAAAUUGCCAAAUAUCGCGAAAUGUGAGGUCUCGUGUUGAAAAGUCGAAUAAGUUAGGUCUAAGAAUUGCGAAUUCGAAAUACCAAGUCGAUACGACAAAUCCGAAAUUCAUAAUGGAAAAUAGGUCGUCUCAUCUUGAAAAUUUAAAUAUCUGUGGCCUAUGAAACCCAAAUACGAACCCACUUUUAAAACAAGUCCGAACAGUAAUUAAUAUACGAGAAUAAUAAGUCUUAAGGGCAUAGAAUUCCGAGACCUGUUUUUUUGUCACAAACAACUCCAACGACCGAAUUAUAUAUGGAGAGUAAAAAUUAACGCAGAGCUGUUUUGCCAGUUAUCCGAUAACAUAUUUUCAACUCCGUAGUUUUUGAACUCGAAGGUUAUUUGCCAUUUGUGCCACUGACGUCGAGAGUUAAUGACGAUUUCGUCAUUAAUUCUCGACAUCAGUGGCACGCUAUCGGAUGUUACAAUUGCGUUGGAGAUGGUCACACGAUAGUAAUUAGGAAAAUGGAAGAAAAUAUAAAUGUGCGAAAAAGUUUCAUCAAUUUUGAAAAAGAAUUAGUAGAAAAAAUAGGAAGAUGUGUAAUUAAGUGUCGAUAACCUUGAGUUAAUGCGCAUGUGUUAAUCCUGAGUUUGUCAAACAAUCCAGUUACCAGCUAGAGCAGUUUCAUUUGACUCGGAAUCAAGUUGGUGAAUACUAAUUUAGCUAUAACUCUUAACUCUACCAAUAACUCGAUUUGGUGAAUACAGGCGUAAGACCUAUUUGUGUUGCUUUAUAUCAGCCUGAUGACAUACAAUUCAAAAACAAAAACAAUUCCAGGAAGUGUCUAAGAAGUGAUGUUGUUUUGCAAACUGUGUCAGCAGCAACAAGCCACAGUAACACGUUACAUUCUGCGAGAAGGUACUACUGAAAUAUCAGCAACAGCCAGAUAAUAAAUACCAACACUGAAAGACUUAAUUGCUGAAAAGUAAGUUUGUUUAUAUGUAAUGUUUUCUAUCAUAAAUUAUUAAAUCUUUAAUUUACUUAGAUGCCUAAUGAACAUAUAAGGAAGUGCAGAAUUGCCAACUGUGAAAAAACAAGCACUUACAUGAAAAAUCAUUGCAAACGUGUGCACAAGAUGUCCAAAUUUACGUAUCAUUGCUAUAAAGCUAUACGUCCAUACUUCAACUGUACCUUUAGCUACUGUACACACGACGGAGAAUUGGUAUUUAGGAACGCAGCAACGGGAGAAUUAAUAUUACGGGCAAAGCAAAUAACAGAUUCACCUGUCAAAUCGUCUCCAUGUGCUGUUGCUCCUGAUGGAGAAGCCUGCUUUUACCCC
rnacentral:lncRNA from 1 species